rnacentral:rRNA from 1 species
GACGAACGCUGGCGGCGUGCUUAACACAUGCAAGUCGAACGCUGAAGCUCAGCUUUUGUUGGGUGGAUGAGUGGCGAACGGGUGAGUAACACGUGAGUAACCUGCCUCCUUCUUUGGGAUAACGCCCGGAAACGGGUGCUAAUACUGGAUAUUCACUGGUCUUCGCAUGGGGGUUGGUGGAAAGGGUUUUUCUGGUGGGGGAUGGGCUCGCGGCCUAUCAGCUUGUUGGUGGGGUGAUGGCCUACCAAGGCUUUGACGGGUAGCCGGCCUGAGAGGGUGACCGGUCACAUUGGGACUGAGAUACGGCCCAGACUCCUACGGGAGGCAGCAGUGGGGAAUAAUGCACAAUGGGCGAAAGCCUGAUGCAGCGACGCCGCGUGAGGGAUGGAGGCCUUCGGGUUGUGAACCUCUGUCGCUCAUGGUCAAGCCGCAACAAUGGUUGUGGUGAGGGUAGUGGGUAAAGAAGCGCCGGCUAACUACGUG